rnacentral:rRNA from 1 species
AUUGAACGCUGGCGGCAGGCCUAACACAUGCGAGUCGAGCGGAUGAAGGGAGCUUGCUCCUGGAUUCAGCGGCGGACGGGUGAGUAAUGCCUAGGAAUCUGCCUGGUAGUGGGGGAUAACGUCCGGAAACGGGCGCUAAUACCGCAUACGUCCUGAGGGAGAAAGUGGGGGAUCUUCGGACCUCACGCUAUCAGAUGAGCCUAGGUCGGAUUAGCUAGUUGGUGGGGUAAAGGCCUACCAAGGCGACGAUCCGUAACUGGUCUGAGAGGAUGAUCAGUCACACUGGAACUGAGACACGGUCCAGACUCCUACGGGAGGCAGCAGUGGGGAAUAUUGGACAAUGGGCGAAAGCCUGAUCCAGCCAUGCCGCGUGUGUGAAGAAGGUCUUCGGAUUGUAAAGCACUUUAAGUUGGGAGGAAGGGCAGUAAGUUAAUACCUUGCUGUUUUGACGUUACCAACAGAAUAAGCACCGCCUAACUUCGUG